CUUGGACAUCGUCGUGAUUUAUUUAAUUUGAAUACAUGUCCUGCCCACCAAAUCAUAAAACACUUAAUGUGAACCCAACACACAAGAAACCCCAGCAGGAUCAACAAGUGCUGCUCUGGCACCUGCCAAGGAUGCUGAGAAAACCAGGGAAGAAACUAUUAACUGCCAGUCUUAAUCCUCUUCAGAACUUGAAUCAUCCUCUUGGUCAGAAAGUUCUGGCACUGGGAAGCGGAGAAUGGCGGCUACUCCCGUCAGCUGGCCCAGCUGUUCCCCCGACACAUGGAGACUAGAGAAUAUCCUUACGGUGCCCGCAUUCUCCUUCACACUGUCCACUAGCCUGACAUACCGGCUCCGGGUGGCCACAUCCUGAUGCCGGAAGAGCUCGUCACUGAUGAGCAAAGUGUCUAUGGCCAAGGCUUCGUUGGCCCUCUCCACCUGCUUGAGUCCAUAGAACGCUCGGUCGGGCUCGUGCUGUAACAUUUUGUAGAAGUCAUCCAAGGCUUUUACUUCGCCCGCUGCCUUUGUGUCUGAAAGGCGGCUCGCUACAGUAGGGUCGCAGAGGGCCUCUUUCAGGGAGUACUUGUGUCCAGAGGAGGCGUGCACCUAGAAUCACAAUUAUAAAAGACAAAGAAUCUCUGAAAGUAUCCAUUAAUCAGCCCACGAUGACAUUUGACAAACACAUGAAUAAGGCCUAACCUGUUUAAGGACUUGGACAACUUUUUAAAGUGCUAGAUACUGCAGGGUUCAGUUACAAUCUCAUUUAUAGUCCCAGCCAAGCCUUCGGCUCCUCCCCAUUCUAAAACAUUAGGAAACUCUCUCUGGGUAAGAUUUUUACCUGAAGGAAUUUGGAGCGGUUUUCCAGGAGCACUUUAUUGUCCGUCUUCACAGCUUGCUGAAACAUGUAAUCGCAGAACUGCUCUCGCACGAAUCCAGGGCUGGCCACCAGAACGCACUUUACAACCUCGAAGUUUAUGUGGCGCUGGAUGGCCUGGACCACCUGUUCAUAGAACCGCUCCAGGGCCCGGUCAUGCUGGGAGCAGUUGCCUUUCCGUUUCCUGGGGAUGUUCACCUCCACCUUGGCCCGGGUAAGGGUCAUGCUGGGCGUGACUAAGCAGACGUGGGCCAGGCCCUCCUGCAUGACCACAGCUGCCACAUCAGCGCUCCACGCCGGGUCGCAAGCCUGCUCGAUGCGUUCCAGAACCACACUGUCCCACUGUUUCUUGGCCAGGGUGAACUGGCGGUUGGGCUCCAGUUCGAUGGUGUGCUCGGGACAGCACUUUUACCCCACGCUUUUUCUCAAGUCUCCGCGCGCUGGCCCACGCGCGGCGCGGCAAACCUCACGCUCAGCACGAGUCAACUCUCGGGACUUCCAGUCGCCGGCCCCGCGAAACCGGCUGACGCGGCGAUCGCGCAGGCGCAGCCCGCCUCCCGGCGCAAGUCUGUUGUGGGUCCCUACCAGAGAGGCGGGGCCUGUCGGCGGCGCGCGCACGCAGGCGCAGUAAAAGGAAAGGCUCGCCCUAGAUAAACGUCAAAGGAGGCGGUCAGCGCUCUGAAAAGCUAAGCUUUUCCCGGCACAUCCCUGUGUGCGAGCACAUGCCAACACUCAGACCGACGAGCUUGUUGGCUCAGAGAGAUCCAGAAGCGGUUUCUAAGAACUAGUCACGUACAGUCUGGGCUCAGCAACGUGUCCAGCUGUUUUCUGCGCCUGUUACCCUGUUUGCACGAUCCAGUUAACCCAGAUGUUAAAGGACAGAGCCCAGAGAGAGCAGUGGAAUGCGUGGAAUGUACCCCUGGUGGACCUCUAUGUAGCUUGACCUGAUUGAUGUCCUGGGAAUCCCAGAAUCCAAAGUUGGCCGACUCAGCGCAGUAGUCUCUGAGGCGUUCAGUGUGGGAGCCGGACUGCAGUAGAUUAGCGCUCGAUCUUCCCUGCCACUGACUAGCCAAAAGUUGAGGAUAUGGGAAGUAAAGAUAAGCUAAUCUAAUAUGACCACCCCAAAAGAAGAGCCAAAGAGUUGGUUGUAAAGGAAAAGAAAAGAAAAAGAAAAACAAAUAAACAAAAAUCCAUUCCGUUUCUCCCAUCCCCUUUGGUACAGUGGCGAUGGAAAUACAGAGAAGUCUCUUUCUGAAUGAAGACAGUGGGGGGAGCAGAGAAAUCCUGACCACUUAGGCUCGCUCACUGCGUUUUGUGUAAGGAUUUUAAAGCAGAGCCUUAAUUGAGGAGAGGAGGUUAAAGGGAGGGUUAAUCGUGUUAACUGAUGUCAGCCAUCUUUCUUAGAGGUUGGUGUGUGUUGCGGGGGUGGUGGUGGUUGUCCAAGACUCCAGUAUAAAUUUGCACCUUAACUUGCUUUGUAUCCUCUCUCCCCCCACUCCGCACCCCCCUCCCAUCUAAUUUACCAUCUUCUUAUCACAGAGCCUCUAACUCACAUUGCUUUGUUCCUCUAAAGCCUUUCACCGAACCAGGCACGGGUCUCACUAAAGCAAGAAAGUAGACCUUCCUGGACUCUUAAUGAAUGAAAGGUUUUCCCUGAAAUACUGUCAACUUUUGAAAAUUUCUCAAGCACUUUCUCACUCUUAUAAGGAAAAUGCUACCCUAAUUUGAAACAAUAAAUAAAUAAAUAAAUAAAUAAAUAAAACGAAGUUAGGAGGAAGUUAACAAAUGUUCUCAAAAUCAUGUAACUGGCAUUCAGAGCCAGGCCGGAUUAGCCCCACCCACUACCACCAUGAACAAUCCGUCCUAUAUACAUAACCCUCUCUGCCAAGGCAAGCUAUGUGCUGUUAGCCCCUGCUGCUUCCUUUGAUUGACAGCUUUGCCUGUUCACUGGAAUCAACCUAGAAGGUUUGGAAUGCCUUGACCCCUCCCCCACACCUUAAAGUCAUUACAUUCUUCAGCACAUAAUUUUGUUUCUACCAAACUUAGGUAAUCAUUCAUUUGGAUUUUACUUUUAAAAACUGAGUGCAUUUAUUUCUACAUCUGUUACAUGGCAAACUCAUAAUGAUUCAUUUCAUAUUUCAUGACAUUUUUUUAAAGUUGUAAGGCCAACAUCUUGGGGGGGGGGAUUAUGGGGUCCCAUGUAGCACAAGAUGACCUCUAACUGGAUAUAGAGCAAAGGAUGACCUUGAACGUCCAACCCUCUUGCCUUCAUCCCCUAAACAUUGGGAUUAGAGGCAGGUAGGGCUUCACCCUAAGGCUUUUAAGAGGCUCAAACUUGGGGCUUUGUAAACAUUGUUCCUACUGAACUACAUCCCCUGCCCUAGGCUACUUUUUAAAAUGACAUUGUUCUCAGUGAUUGUACGUGCUACAAUAUUUCUCAAAGAGUUAGUUUUGUCUGAAACACCUUUCCAGCUAGGAACUUUUUGUUUGUUUGUUUGUUUGUUUGUUUGUUUUGUAACUUGGGCCAGUGUUGUAUCAUCAGUGAGCAGAUAUUCACCUUCUCCUUGUGUUACCUUUGUUAUAUGUCUAAGUUAUUUGGGAUUGUAGUUCCUAAUAUAACCCCCAAGUCCUUGCAUUCAAACCAAAGCACUCUGUUUUCAAAUCCCGCACUCUGGUUUUGGGGCGCAUUUUAUGUCACCAGAAUAACCUUUGUUCUGAAUACAUCCUAGGAAUUUUUAUAUGGUGCCUCAGCUCAUCCUGUUAUCGGGACUUAAUAGUUCACUUUACCUCAUGUGUCUGUCUGGAAGGGCUGAAAACCGCACCUCAGGACAACUGGAAUGCUGAAAACCGCACCUCAGGACAACUGGAAUGCUUUAUCUGGCCUUUUUAAACUCUGGAUGUUUUGUUCCUUGUAUCUUUCCAUAGUCCCUGCAAGGUCCUCUGCAUGCAGUAUCAUAUGUAAUUCUAAGCUAGGCAGGAUAAAGCGACAGACACAUUAACCUGACAGAAGUUUCCUAGCGCUCUUGGUUAUCAAAUUAUAAUUCAUUUCACUUCAUGAUGACUACUAAAACCUAUAGUCUUAGAUGGUUGUAUUUUUAUUCUUUUC
rnacentral:lncRNA from 1 species